rnacentral:rRNA from 1 species
UACGUAGGGGGCAAGCGUUGUCCGGAUUCAUUGGGCGUAAAGAGCGUGUAGGCGGCCAGGUAGGUCGGUUGUGAAAACUGGAGGCUCAACCUUCAGAGGUCGACCGAAACCAUCUGGCUAGAGUCCGGAAGAGGAGAGUGGAAUUCCCGGUGUAGCGGUGAAAUGCGCAGAUAUCGGGAAGAACACCCGUGGCGAAGGCGGCUCUCUGGGACGGUACUGACGCUGAGGUGCGAAAGCGUGGGGAGCAAACAGG